CCUACGGGAGGCAGCAGUGGGGAAUAUUGCACAAUGGGCGCAAGCCUGAUGCAGCCAUGCCGCGUGUGUGAAGGAGGCCUUCGGGUUGUAAAGCACUUUCAGCGGGGAGGAAGGCGUUAAGGUUAAUAACCUUGGCGAUUGACGUUACCCGCAGAAGAAGCACCGGCUAACUCCGUGCCAGCAGCCGCGGUAAUACGGAGGGUGCAAGCGUUAAUCGGAAUUACUGGGCGUAAAGCGCACGCAGGCGGUCUGUCAAGUCGGAUGUGAAAUCCCCGGGCUCAACCUGGGAACUGCAUUCGAAACUGGCAGGCUAGAGUCUUGUAGAGGGGGGUAGAAUUCCAGGUGUAGCGGUGAAAUGCGUAGAGAUCUGGAGGAAUACCGGUGGCGAAGGCGGCCCCCUGGACAAAGACUGACGCUCAGGUGCGAAAGCGUGGGGAGCAAACAGGAUUAGAUACCCCUGUAGUC
rnacentral:rRNA from 1 species